rnacentral:tRNA from 1 species
GAGGCUUUAGCUUAAUGAAAGUUGUUNNNUUGCAUUCAGGAGAUAUAAAUAAGUCAUUUAUAGGUCUU